CCUACGGGAGGCUGCAGUGGGGAAUCUUCCGCCAUGGGCGAAAGCCUGACGGAGCAACGCCGCGUGAUCGAAUGAAGGCCUUCGGGUUGUACAGAUCUGUUGACAGGGACGAAUAAGCAAUGCGAAUAGUUUUGUGUAUGACGGUACCUGUUUAGAAAGCUCCGGCUAACUACGUGCCAGCAGCCGCGGUAAUACGUAGGGAGCAAGCGUUGUCCGGAUUUACUGGGCGGAAAGGGCGCGUAGGUGGGCGCUUAAGUCAGUUGUGAAAACUCCGGCUCAACCUGGAGACUGCACUUGAAACUGGGUGUCUUGAGGGCAGGAGAGGAAAGUGGAAGUCCUAGUGUAGCGGUGAAAUGCGUAGAUAUUAGGAGGAACACCAGUGGCGAAGGCGACUUUCUGGACUGUACCUGACGCUGAGGCGCGAAAGCGUGGGUAGCGAACGGGAUUAGAUACCCCAGUAGUC
rnacentral:rRNA from 1 species